GCGAAAAAUGUGUGAUUUUCGAAAUUUUCAAUAUUUGACAGGAAAUGUCAAAAAAAUUGAUAAUUAAAAAAAAAUAAAAAAAACAGAAAAAAUGACAUAGCUCCGCCCCUAUGGCUGCGAUUUUGGUCAAAUUUUUAUAGUUGUAAAUGGUUUGAUGUAGCGGAUUCGAAAAACUAACUUUCAGUCAGUGGCGCAUCCAUGGGGAGAAAAAAGGGGGGAAAAUGGCGAUAUUUUCAAUAAAACCUCAAAAUGAGAUUGGUGCGUUUGGACUUAGGGUUUUUGAAUUUUUUGCGAAUUUUUCGUGUAGAUAUUAACUCUGUCAGUGGCGUGGUUGCCGAUUUUUUUAGGGGUACGAGUUUUGCAUAAGCGUGAAAUUUAAAAAAAAACACAAAAUGAGAUUUGUAAUUUUGGAAAAGGUUUUUGAAUUUUUUGCGAAUUUUUCGUGCCGGUUUAAACCCUGUCAGUGGCGUCGUUUCGGAUUUUUUAAGGGGAGCGACUUUUGUAUAGGUGUGUAAGUAGCAAUAUGACCUAUGUGCUUCUGGAAUUAAACUUUUAAAAAAAUAUGAGAAUUUUUUGUAUCGAUUUUAAAUUUGUCAUUAGCGUACUUUCGUUUUUUAAGGGGAUGCGAGUUUUGGAUAGAUAUGGGAAUAGUAAUAUGAGGUUUGUGCUAUUGGACUUGGACUUUUUCAAUUUUCUGCGAAUUUUUCGUGUCCGUUUUAACUCUGUCAGUGGCGUCGUUUCGCAUUUUUUAAGGGGUGCGGGUUUUGUAUAGGUGUGUAAGUAGCAAUAUGAGGUUUCUGCUUCUGGACUUAGGCUUUUAAAAUUUUUUAUGCAGAUUUUAACCCCGGUCAUGGGUGUACUUUCAUAUUUUUUAAAGGGUGCGAGUUUUAUAUAGGUGUAUAAGUAGUAAUAUGAGGUUUGUGCUGUUGGACUUAAGCUUUUAAAAAAUUUAGAGAAUUUUUUGUGCCGAUUUUAGCCCUUUCGUGGGCGUUCUUUUGUAUUUUUUAAAGGGUGCGAGUUUAGAGUAGGUGUGGGGAUGACAAUAUGAGGUUUGUACUUUUGGCCUUAAGCUUUUUGAAUUUUUUGCGAAUUUUUUGUGUCGAUUUUAAACCUGACAGUGGCGUGGUUUUGGAUUUUUUAAGGGGUGCCAGUUUUGGAUACGCGUGGGAGGGCAAUAUGAGGUUUGCACUUUUGGACUUGAUCUUUAUUUUUUUUGCGAUUUUAUUUUGGCGAUUUCGACCCUGUCAGUGGCGUAUAUUUGUAUUUUUAAGGGGUGCGGGUUUUGUAUAGGCGGGGUAGGGCAAUAUGAGGUUUGAGCUUUUUGAAUUUUUUGCGAUUUGUUUUUGCCGAUUUCGACUCUGUCAGUGGCGUACUUUCGUAUUUAUUUAGGGGUGCGAGUUUGUA
rnacentral:lncRNA from 1 species